rnacentral:misc_RNA from 1 species
UGAAUCUGUAGCUUUCGAUUAGUUUUCUGUUUCUUUUUUCUUCUUUGUUAAGGUUCUUUUUUGUUUACGCAGAGAUUACAUAGAGUCGCCUAAAAGUUGUUCUUGUAGGCUUAGAUCACCAAUAUAUGAUCUGGGUAUGAUCUAUUUUCUGUAAAGAUCCGACCUUUAUGUGAAUUUUCUAGGUUUGAUAGCUUCUAGGUCUUAAUUUUGACUUUUCUUGAUCUGGGUAAUUGUUAUAUUUGUCUAUCUAGAGCUAAAGAUGAAGGAAAAGCUAGGGUUUUUAGUGUGUGUUUGGUUUCUUGUAAUUGGGUCUUGUUUGGGUAGAUUUGUGGUGGAAAAGAAUAGCUUGAGGGUAACUUCUCCAGACUCGAUCAAAAAUGUGUAUGAGUGUGCAAUUGGGAAUUUUGGGGUUCCACAAUAUGGAGGAACUAUGGUUGGUAUUGUUAUGUACCCUAAAGCUAAUCAGAAGUCCUGCAAGGAUUUUGCAGAUUCUGAUAUUUCAUUCAAAACUAAGGCUGGUGGUAUGCCUGUUUUCGUCCUUGUCGAUAGAGGAGACUGCUAUUUCACACUUAAGGCUUGGAAUGCUCAAAAGGCUGGAGCUGCUGCUAUUCUUGUUGCUGAUGAUCGCAAUGAACCUUUGAUUACCAUGGACACUCCUGAGGAAGAGGAUGCAAAGGCAGAUUAUCUGCAAAAUAUAACUAUUCCGUCAGCUCUAAUUAGUCAAUCGCUUGGGGAUAGCAUCAAGAAGCAACUAUCUAAAGGGGAGAUGGUUAACAUAAACCUGGAUUGGAGAGAGGCUCUUCCGCAUCCUGAUGAAAGAGUUGAGUACGAGUUUUGGACCAACAGUAAUGAUGAGUGUGGUCCUAAGUGUGAAAGCCAGAGAGAGUUUGUCAAAAACUUCAAGGGGGCUGCCCAGAUACUUGAGCAGAAAGGUUAUACACAGUUUAGUCCCCAUUACAUAACUUGGUAUUGUCCUGAGGCAUUUAUUUUGAGCAAGCAAUGCAAGUCUCAGUGCAUCAACCAUGGGAGAUACUGUGCUCCAGAUCCUGAGCAAGACUUCAGCAAAGGUUAUGAUGGGAAGGAUGUUGUUUUACAAAAUCUGCGCCAAGCUUGCUUUUAUAAGGUUGCCAAUGAUAGCGGGAAGCCCUGGUUGUGGUGGGACUACGUCACUGACUUUGGAAUCCGGUGUCCAAUGAAAGAGAAGAAGUACGAUAAGGAGUGUGCAGAUCAAGUAAUCACAUCCCUUGGUUUUGAUGUAAAACAGAUAGAUAAAUGUGUUGGAGAUCCUGAAGCUGAUGCUGAUAACCCUAUUCUAAAGGCUGAACAAGAAGCUCAGAUUGGAAAGAACUCUCGUGGAGAUGUGACUAUCUUGCCAACUCUUGUGAUAAACAAUAGGCAGUACAGAGGCAAGUUGGACAAGGGAGCUGUUCUGAAGGCCAUUUGUUCAGGUUUCGAGGAGACAACUGAGCCUGCAAUUUGCUUAACCGAUGAUAUACAAACAAAUGAGUGCUUAGAGUCCAAUGGUGGGUGCUGGCAGGACACAGCUGCCAACAUUACUGCAUGCCGGGAUACAUUCCGUGGGAAAGUCUGUGAGUGCCCGACGGUUCAGGGAGUAAAAUUUGUUGGUGAUGGUUAUUCUCACUGUGAAGCAUCUGGAGCAUUACGCUGUGGAUUAAACAACGGAGGUUGUUGGAAGGGAACCAAGGAUGGAAGGACAUAUUCUGCCUGCAUAGAUGACCACACAAAGGGUUGUAAAUGUCCACCAGGGUUCAAAGGAGAUGGAGUGAAUCUUUGUGAAGAUAUUG